rnacentral:misc_RNA from 1 species
GAUGAAGAACGUAGCAAAAUGCGAUAAGUAAUGUGAAUUGCAGAAUUCAGUGAAUCAUCGAAUCUUUGAACGCACAUUGCGCCCGCUGGUAUUCCGGCGGGCAUGCCUGUUCGAGCGUCAUUUCAACCCUCAAGCCCCCGGGUUUGGUGUUGGGGAUCGGCUCUGCCCUUCUGGGCGGUGCCGCCCCCGAAAUACAUUGGCGGUCUCGCUGCAGCCUCCAUCGCGUAGUAGCUAACACCUCGCAACUGGAACGCGGCGCGGCCAUGCCGUAAAACCCCAACUUCUGAAUGUUGACCUCGGAUCAGGUAGGAAUACCCGCUGAACUUAAGCAUAUCAAUAAGCGGAGGA